GACGAACGCUGGCGGCGUGCCUAAUACAUGCAAGUAGAACGCUGAAGGAGGAGCUUACUUCUCUGGAUGAGUUGCGAACGGGUGAGUAACGCGUAGGUAACCUGCCUGGUAGCGGGGGAUAACUAUUGGAAACGAUAGCUAAUACCGCAUAAGAGUAGAUGUUGCAUGACAUUUACUUAAAAGGUGCAAUUGCACCACUACCAGAUGGACCUGCGUUGUAUUAGCUAGUUGGUGGGGUAACGGCUUACCAAGGCGACGAUACAUAGCCGACCUGAGAGGGUGGUCGGCCACACUGGGACUGGGACACGGCCCAGACUCCUACGGGAGGCAGCAGUAGGGAAUCUUCGGCAAUGGACGGAAGUCUGACCGAGCAACGCCGCGUGAGUGAAGAAGGUUUUCGGAUCGUAAAGCUCUGUUGUAAGAGAAGAACGAGUGUGAGAGUGGAAAGUUCACACUGUGACGGUAUCUUACCAGAAAGGGACGGCUAACUACGUGCCAGCAGCCGCAGUAA
rnacentral:rRNA from 1 species